rnacentral:rRNA from 1 species
ACCAUGAAGAGUUUGAUCCUGGCUCAGGAUUAACGCUAGCGGCAGGCCUAACACAUGCAAGUCGAGGGGCAUCACGGGU